rnacentral:rRNA from 1 species
GGUUAAGCGACUAAGCGUACACGGUGGAUGCCCUGGCAGUCAGAGGCGAUGAAGGGCGUGCUAAUCUGCGAUAAGCGCCGGUAAGGUGAUAUGAACCGUUAUAACCGGCGAUACCCGAAUGGGGAAACCCAGUGUGACUCGUCACACUAUCAUUAACUGAAUCCAUAGGUUAAUGAGGCGAACCGGGGGAACUGAAACAUCUAAGUACCCCGAGGAAAAGAAAUCAACCGAGAUUCCCCCAGUAGCGGCGAGCGAACGGGGAGGAGCCCAGAGCCUGAAUCAGCAUGUGUGUUAGUGGAAGCGUCUGGAAAGGCGCGCGAUACAGGGUGACAGCCCCGUACACAAAAGCGCAUGUGCUGUGAGCUCGAUGAGUAGGGCGGGACACGUGGUAUCCUGUCUGAAUAUGGGGGGACCAUCCUCCAAGGCUAAAUACUCCUGACUGACCGAUAGUGAACCAGUACCGUGAGGGAAAGGCGAAAAGAACCCCGGCGAGGGGAGUGAAAAAGAACCUGAAACCGUGUACGUACAAGCAGUGGGAGCACCCUUUGGGUGUGACUGCGUACCUUUUGUAUAAUGGGUCAGCGACUUAUAUUCUGUAGCAAGGUUAACCGAAUAGGGGAGCCGGAGGGAAACCGAGUCUUAACCGGGCGUUAAGUUGCAGGGUAUAGACCCGAAACCCGGUGAUCUAGCCAUGGGCAGGUUGAAGGUUGGGUAACACUAACUGGAGGACCGAACCGACUAAUGUUGAAAAAUUAGCGGAUGACCUGUGGCUGGGGGUGAAAGGCCAAUCAAACCGGGAGAUAGCUGGUUCUCCCCGAAAGCUAUUUAGGUAGCGCCUCGUGAAUUCAUCUCCGGGGGUAGAGCACUGUUUCGGCUAGGGGGCCAUCCCGGCUUACCAACCCGAUGCAAACUGCGAAUACCGGAGAAUGUUAUCACGGGAGACACACGGCGGGUGCUAACGUCCGUCGUGAAGAGGGAAACAACCCAGACCGCCAGCUAAGGUCCCAAAGUCAUGGUUAAGUGGGAAACGAUGUGGGAAGGCCCAGACAGCCAGGAUGUUGGCUUAGAAGCAGCCAUCAUUUAAAGAAAGCGUAAUAGCUCACUGGUCGAGUCGGCCUGCGCGGAAGAUGUAACGGGGCUAAACCAUGCACCGAAGCUGCGGCAGCGACACUGUGUGUUGUUGGGUAGGGGAGCGUUCUGUAAGCCUGUGAAGGUGUGUCGUGAGGCAUGCUGGAGGUAUCAGAAGUGCGAAUGCUGACAUAAGUAACGAUAAAGCGGGUGAAAAGCCCGCUCGCCGGAAGACCAAGGGUUCCUGUCCAACGUUAAUCGGGGCAGGGUGAGUCGACCCCUAAGGCGAGGCCGAAAGGCGUAGUCGAUGGGAAACGGGUUAAUAUUCCCGUACUUGGUGUUACUGCGAAGGGGGGACGGAGAAGGCUAUGUUGGCCGGGCGACGGUUGUCCCGGUUUAAGCGUGUAGGUGUGUGUUCCAGGUAAAUCCGGUUCACUUUAACACUGAGGCGUGACGACGAGGCACUACGGUGCUGAAGCAACAAAUGCCCUGCUUCCAGGAAAAGCCUCUAAGCAUCAGGUAACAUCAAAUCGUACCCCAAACCGACACAGGUGGUCAGGUAGAGAAUACCAAGGCGCUUGAGAGAACUCGGGUGAAGGAACUAGGCAAAAUGGUGCCGUAACUUCGGGAGAAGGCACGCUGACACGUAGGUGAAGUGAUUUACUCAUGGAGCUGAAGUCAGUCGAAGAUACCAGCUGGCUGCAACUGUUUAUUAAAAACACAGCACUGUGCAAACACGAAAGUGGACGUAUACGGUGUGACGCCUGCCCGGUGCCGGAAGGUUAAUUGAUGGGGUCAGCGCAAGCGAAGCUCCUGAUCGAAGCCCCGGUAAACGGCGGCCGUAACUAUAACGGUCCUAAGGUAGCGAAAUUCCUUGUCGGGUAAGUUCCGACCUGCACGAAUGGCGUAAUGAUGGCCAGGCUGUCUCCACCCGAGACUCAGUGAAAUUGAACUCGCUGUGAAGAUGCAGUGUACCCGCGGCAAGACGGAAAGACCCCGUGAACCUUUACUAUAGCUUGACACUGAACAUUGAGCCUUGAUGUGUAGGAUAGGUGGGAGGCUUUGAAGUGUGGACGCCAGUCUGCAUGGAGCCGACCUUGAAAUACCACCCUUUAAUGUUUGAUGUUCUAACGUGGACCCGUUACCCGGGUUGCGGACAGUGUCUGGUGGGUAGUUUGACUGGGGCGGUCUCCUCCUAAAGAGUAACGGAGGAGCACGAAGGUUGGCUAAUCCUGGUCGGACAUCAGGAGGUUAGUGCAAUGGCAUAAGCCAGCUUGACUGCGAGCGUGACGGCGCGAGCAGGUGCGAAAGCAGGUCAUAGUGAUCCGGUGGUUCUGAAUGGAAGGGCCAUCGCUCAACGGAUAAAAGGUACUCCGGGGAUAACAGGCUGAUACCGCCCAAGAGUUCAUAUCGACGGCGGUGUUUGGCACCUCGAUGUCGGCUCAUCACAUCCUGGGGCUGAAGUAGGUCCCAAGGGUAUGGCUGUUCGCCAUUUAAAGUGGUACGCGAGCUGGGUUUAGAACGUCGUGAGACAGUUCGGUCCCUAUCUGCCGUGGGCGCUGGAGAACUGAGGGGGGCUGCUCCUAGUACGAGAGGACCGGAGUGGACGCAUCACUGGUGUUCGGGUUGUCAUGCCAAUGGCACUGCCCGGUAGCUAAAUGCGGAAGAGAUAAGUGCUGAAAGCAUCUAAGCACGAAACUUGCCCCGAGAUGAGUUCUCCCUGAGACUUAAAGUCUCCUGAAGGAACGUUGAAGACGACGACGUUGAUAGGCCGGGUGUGUAAGCGCAGCGAUGCGUUGAGCUAACCGGUACUAAUGAACCGUGAGGCUUAACCUU